rnacentral:rRNA from 1 species
UACGAAGGGGGCUAGCGUUGCUCGGAAUCACUGGGCGUAAAGCGCACGUAGGCGGAUGUGUCAGUCAGGGGUGAAAAUCCCGGAGCUCAACUUCGGAACUGCCUCUGAUACAGCACGUCUUGAGUCCGAUAGAGGUGGGUGGAAUUCCUAGUGUAGAGGUGAAAUUCGUAGAUAUUAGGAAGAACACCGGUGGCGAAGGCGGCCCACUGGAUCGGUACUGACGCUGAGGUGCGAAAGCGUGGGUAGCGAACAGG